GACGAACGCUGGCGGCGUGCUUAACACAUGCAAGUCGAACGAAGUGGCGAACGGGUGAGUAACGCGUAAUCAACCUGACCUUCAGAGGGGGACAACAGAUGGAAACGACUGCUAAUACCGCAUACUGAAGGAGGGGAUUGCGUCUGAUUAGCUAGUGGGAGGGGUAACGGACCACCAAGGCGAGGAUGAGUAGGCGGGCUGAGAGGAUGAACGGCCACAUUGGGACUGAGACACGGCCCAGACUCCUACGGGAGGCAGCAGGGGGGAAUCUGCCGCAAUGGACGAAAGUCUGACGGAGCAACGCCGCGUGAGUGAUGAUGGCCUUCGGGUUGUAAAGCUCUGUUAAUCGGGACGCGGUACCGGAAUAGAAAGCCACGGCUAACUACGUGCCAGCAGCCGCGGUAAUAC
rnacentral:rRNA from 1 species